AGAGCUACCAAUAGGGCUAGGGGGAGUCAAAUCCUACCAACCCCUGAUGAACUCCGAAUGCCAUCACAAAGAACCAGCAGUGAGGCUAUGGGUGCUAAGGUCCAUAGCCAAGAGGGAAACAACCCAGACCAUCAGCUAAGGUCCCAAAAUAUAUACUAAGUUGUAUGAACGAGGUGGAGUUGCACAGACAGCUAGGAUGUUGGCUUGGAAGCAGCCAUUCAUUUAAAGAGUGCGUAACAGCUCACUAGUCGAGUGACUCUGCGCGGAAAAUACUCGGGCAUCAAACAUAUUACCGAAGCUAUGGAACAGUAAUGUUGGUAGGGGAGCAUUCUAAUGGCGGUGAAGUUGUAUCGUAAGGUAUGGUGGAGCGAUUAGAAAAGAAAAUGUAGGCAUGAGUAACGAUAAAAUAGGUGAGAGUCCUAUUCGCCGAAAGACUAAGGAUUCCAAUUCUAUGCAAGACAGAGUUGGGUUAGUCGGGGCCUAAGGCGGACCCGAAAGGGGAAGUCGAUGGGAAACUGGUUAAUAUUCCAGUACUUGCACAUACUGCGAAGCAGGGACGGAGUAGGCGGUUGGCGGCGAGCAGACGGAAUAGCUCGUUAAAGAGAGGACAUGGGGCGUGUAGUGAAGUACGCACGCUAUAGGAAUCUCGAUAGUACUAGAACCACUUUGGUGGGGAUAGAUAAGUCAUUAGUCACACUUCCAAGAAAAGCUGCUAAGCUCUAGGUAUGUGGAACCCGUACCGUAAACCGACACAGGUAGUCGAGGAGAGUAUCCUAAGGCGCACGAGAGAAUCAUGGUUAAGGAACUAGGCAAAAUGGGCGCGUAACUUCGGGAGAAGCGUCACUUUAAGUAAUUAAAGUCGCAGUGAAGAGGCCCAGGCGACUGUUUAGCAAAAACACAGGACUCUGCGAAGCUGAGAAGGCANUUAGCAAAAACACAGGACUCUGCGAAAUCGAAAGAUGAAGUAUAGGGUCUGACACCUGCCCGGUGCUGGAAGGUUAAGGAAGGGGGUUAGCUUAGGCGAAGCUCUUAACUGAAGCCCCAGUAAACGGCGGCCGUAACAAUAACGGUCCUAAGGUAGCGAAAUUCCUUGUCGAGUAAGUUUCGACCCGCACGAAAGACGUAACGAUCUGGGCACUGUCUCGGAGAGAGACUCGGUGAAAUAGAAAUGUCUGUGAAGAUGCGGACUACUUAUACCAGGACAGAAAGACCCUAUGAAGCUUGACUGUAAUUUGGAAUUGAGUUCGGGCUUUUUUUGCGCAGUCUAGGUGGGAGGCGUUGAUAUAAAAUUUUUGGAUUUUAUGGAGCCAAAAUUGAGAGACCACCCUAAAAAGGCUAGAAUUCUAAUAGGAUUCCUUGAAUCAGGAUCCUUGACAGUUUCAGAUGGACAGUUUGACUGGGGCGGUGAUCUCCUAAAAGGUAACGGAGAUGUGCAAAGGUUCUCUCAAGCUGGAUGGAAAUCAGCUGUAGAGUGUAAAGGUAUAAGAGAGCUUGACUGCAAGACCAACAAGUCGAGCAGGAGCGAAAGCUGGCCUUAGUGAUCCGACGGUUCCGAGUGGAAGGGCCGUCGCUCAACGGAUAAAAGUUACUCUAGGGANGGAUAACAGGCUGAUCUCCCCCAAGAGUUCACAUCGACGGGGAGGUUUGGCACCUCGAUGUCGGCUCAUCGCAUCCUGGGGCGGUAGUACGUCCCAAGGGUUGGGCUGUUCGCCCAUGAAAGCGGUACGCGAGCUGGGUUCAGAACGUCGUGAGACAGUUCGGUCCAUAUCCGGUGCAGGCGUUAGAGUAUUGAGAGGAGCUUUCCUUAGUACGAGAGGACCGGGAAAGACGCACCUCUGGUGUACCAGUUAUUGUGCCAACAGUAAACGCUGGGUAGCUAAGUGCGGAAGUGAUAACCGCUGAAAGCAUCUAAGUGGGAAGCCAACCUCAAGAUGAGUACUCUCACCGUUUAACGGGUAAGAUCACGGUAAGACUAACCGUUUGAUAGGCAUCAAGUGUAAGUGCAGUAAUGUAUGUAGCUGAGAUGUACUAACAGAUCGAGGACUUUACU
rnacentral:rRNA from 1 species